GCGAGAGCAUCCAUACUGUUACCCAAUGUAAACACAGGUCGCAUAUGUGACGUAAGAACAUAUUUUGUCGCAGGCGGUGACGUUUCGAAACGCAAAACCCCGGUUACUGAUGUCCACAUGCAGACGCAUAAAACGGAGAAUUCGCAAAUCUUCACUUUGGUUGGAGUUUUUAAAAAGAAUCGUUUUUGAUGACGUAAAUCUGCGUUUUCUUGUGGAUGAUAGGCCGAAUCGUAGAAAAAUAUCUUCGUUUUGUGAGAUACCCGGCUACGUGUGGACAAGGGCUCAGAGAACAAACAGUUGCAAAAAGGCUGGAAACAUGGCUCACAAAGCCGUCUGCUUUCAUUCCAUCACAUUAGCAGCAGCCGCUGCAGAAGGUCAUAUUUUCCAUCCAGGAACCUGCAGUAAUACACACAUGUAAUGGAGGAUGUGCGACAUCUGGAAGUGCUCAGGAGGCCGAGCUGAAACCUCCUCCUUCCCCCCAGUCGGUUCUCAGGGCACAAACUUCAAAGCAGGCGGCAGAAGAUAAUGUUUUCUCUCAGUGACGAGCCACCAACGGAGCGGUGCAGCCGAAUGUGGACGAUGUGGGCAGGUGUGAAGAUGUCGAUUUAAGAGGCCAAACUGAGGUCUGAUGGGAGCUGAUUUAGGUUUUUAGCUUCUAUUUCCUGUCCUCUAUGUGUGGUUUGAGGUUUUUGGGUUUCCAUCUCACCACCAAGUGAGUGGUUCAAUAUGACAAAAUACACUGAGAGGCAACCAGAGAUUUUACUGUAUCACUGAGGCUUUAUGUGGGUUUUUGUAGGAUCAAAACUUUAGAUCUUUUCCUGUACAGCAUCGUCAACGUAAUGUCCAGGAUUUCAUUUUUCAGGUGAAAUAUUUCAGCUUAAUUCACCAAAUAUUAUUGUCACAUGAAACUGAAUUUGCAAUAAUUCAACUGUAGGCACGGUGUUUCAUUUUGAGGUGUAAUAUUUCAUUAUGUGAAAUUUCUAAUAUUUCAAAUUCAUAUGCAACAUUUCAUUAACUUGUGCAGUAUUCAACUUAAUAUGCAAUAAUUUAAUUUGAUGUGCAAUAAUUCAAUUCCAUGUGCAAUAUUUCAAUUUUAUGUGUAACAUUUCAUUUGCAAUUGUAAUCUUUUAACUUGAUGUGCAACAUCACAUUUUCACAUGCAAUAGUCCUGGACAGAGCUGCAAUGUGAUUGGAUAGAACAGGUUCAAAAAGGGCGGGAUCAGAAAUGACUUGAUUGUUUGGAGCUUUUUGGACUUUGGCUCAAUGGGAUGAAAUAAAACUAGACUAAUAACUAAAUAAACUGUUGAAAAAAAGGUUUGAAAUGAUGGAAUUCAGUUGAUUUACUGUAAAAAACUAAAAAAAAUAAA